GUGCUCGCUUCGGCACAUGUACUAAAACUGGAACGAUACAGAGAAGAUUAGCAUGGCCCCUGCGCAAGGAAAAAUAAAAUAAGAUCUGGUUUA